GAAAACUUAGUUUAUUUUUAAAAUAUUAGAUUGUAAAUCUAAAGAUUUUUGUUUUUG
rnacentral:tRNA from 4 species